GGCCAGAUGCUCGACAAUUUUCGGUAGCCAACUUUUUUUUAUCACUAUUAACUUCACAAAAUAAUUCUGUUGUCGUCUCAGUUCAGAAAGUUAUCUCAUCCUAUCACUCCCUCUGCUUUUACCAGCGAACAUGAACAACUUGAGAUGAAUUUCCCCUGGACUACUUGCACUUCAUUUAAAGACUUUUUGUUUUGUUUUGUUGUUGUUGGGGGGGUGGUGGUUCUUGUUUGUUUUGAUUUGAGUUUUCAAUCGAUUGUAUAUAUGAUUAAGC
rnacentral:misc_RNA from 1 species